GUAAACGGGCAUAAAUACCCCAAAGCACCAGAUCCCAUCUGAUCUUGGAAGCUAAGCAAGGUCAGCCUUGGGAAGUAUUUGGAUGGAUGGCCACCAAAGAAAACCAGGUACUACAGGCU
rnacentral:rRNA from 1 species